rnacentral:rRNA from 1 species
UAGGGGGCAAGCGUUAUCCGGAUUUACUGGGUGUAAAGGGAGCGUAGACGGAAAGGCAAGUCAGAAGUGAAAACCCAAGGCUCAACCAUGGGACUGCUUUUGAAACUGUCAAACUAGAGUACGGGAGAGGUAAGAGGAAUUCCUAGUGUAGCGGUGAAAUGCGUAGAUAUUAGGAGGAACACCAGUGGCGAAGGCGUCUUACUGGACCGAAACUGACGUUGAGGCUCGAAAGCGUGGGGAGCAAA